UUCGCAAUGCCCGAAAGGGUGACGAAGCGACGCCGCGUGUGGGAAGAAGGCCUUCGGGUUGUAAACCACUGUCGGGAGUUAAGAAAUGCAAGGAUAUGAAUAGUGUCUUUGCUUGACUAAGGCUCCGGAGGAAGCCACGGCUAACUCUGUGCCAGCAGCCGCGGUAAUACAGAGGCGGCAAGCGUUGUUCGGAAUUAUUGGGCGUAAAGAGCACGUAGGCGGCUAUGUAAGUCGGUUGUGAAAGCCUCCCGCUCAACGGAAGAACAGCAUCCGAUACUACAUGGCUUGAGUGCGGGAGGGGAGAGUGGAACUUCUGGUGGAGCGGUGAAAUGCGUAGAUAUCAGAAGGAACGCCGGCGGCGAAAGCGGCUCUCUGGCCCAUAACUGACGCUGAGUGUGCGAAAGCUAGGGGAGCAAACGGGAUUAGAUACCCCGGUAGUCCUAGCCGUAAACGAUGGGCACUAAGUAGAGGGGUUUU
rnacentral:rRNA from 1 species